rnacentral:rRNA from 1 species
UACGUAGGGUGCAAGCGUUGUCCGGAAUUAUUGGGCGUAAAGAGCUCGUAGGCGGUUUGUUGCGUCGGCUGUGAAAUCCCGAGGCUCAACCUCGGGUCUGCAGUCGAUACGAGCAAACUAGAGUGUUGCAGGGGAGACUGGAAUUCCUGGUGUAGCGGUGAAAUGCGCAGAUAUCAGGAGGAACACCAAUGGCGAAGGCAGCACUCUGGGACGGUACUGACGCUGAGACGCGAAAGCGUGGGGAGCAAACAGG